rnacentral:rRNA from 1 species
UACGUAGGGUGCGAGCGUUGUCCGGAAUUAUUGGGCGUAAAGAGCUUGUAGGCGGUUUGUCGCGUCUGCUGUGAAAACCCGCGGCUCAACUGCGGGCCUGCAGCCGAUACGGGCAGGCUAGAGUUCGGUAGGGGAGACUGGAAUUCCUGGUGUAGCGGUGGAAUGCGCAGAUAUCAGGAGGAACACCGGUGGCGAAGGCGGGAUCCUGGGCCAGUACUGGACGCUGAGGAGCGAAAGCGUGGGGAGCAAACAGG